GAAACCACAAGCACUUCAAAUCAUAUAAUACCACCAAUAUGAUUACUAAACACUCUCUUCUAUUAGGGAUUCUAGCAGUCUUGCUGAUAAGCUUGUUGGCUUUUACUGAGCCAGCAACAAUAUUAUUAGAUGAAGAACACGAUGUCCCAAGAAAUUUUAGCCGUAGCUAUUUUCCUGAAGACUUCACUUUUGGAGUAUCCACUUCUGCUUACCAGGUUGAAGGUGAAGCAAAUAAGAAGGGCAGAGGACCUAGCGUGUGGGACAUAUUUGCCCGUGAGUCUUCAGAGAGGAUAAAGGAUCAGAGCAAUGGAGAUGUUGCAGUUGAU
rnacentral:misc_RNA from 1 species